ensembl:lncRNA
AGCUAACAAGUUACGUAACCACGACCAACCUUGACGUUACGGAUUGGUAAUGUCAAAAAAAACAAAAAAAAUCUAUAUAUAUAUAUAUAUAUAUAUAUAUAAGAUAUACCUGGCAAACUAGCUACUGCAGCCAGCAAACUGUACUGUAUGACUACGUUAAACAAACAUCCGUUUAGUUCGGCAAGCCGACAUCAAGGAAUCUCAGGUUCAGCCAAGAUCACUUGGAGCUCCUAUUUAAUUCAAUCAGAGCGUCAGGUGCUGAGUGCUGCAGAGAGGGUGAUCCGCCAAGCUUCACCAAUGCCAGCUCCUAAGGUGUCGACAGUCACAGACAUCGUCCGGCAGGAGAUUGGAACGGAGGAUGUUUUUCUGCUUGGGGAACACAUUGAGGAGACUCAGUUUGGCAUCGACAACCAUCAUUCUGACUUGUUGUCAUUGGUUGUGUCUGUGUUUCUCAAAAUAAGGCUGCACCACAUUACCA